CAGCAGCCACGGUAAUACGAAGGGGGCUAGCGUUGUUCGGAUUUACUGGGCGUAAAGCGCACGUAGGCGGAUCGAUCAGUCAGGGGUGAAAUCCCAGAGCUCAACUCUGGAACUGCCUUUGAUACUGUCGAUCUGGAGUAUGGAAGAGGUGAGUGGAAUUCCGAGUGUAGAGGUGAAAUUCGUAGAUAUCCGGAGGAACACCAGUGGCGAAGGCGGCUCACUGGUCCAUUACUGACGCUGAGGUGCGAAAGCGUGGGGAGCAAGCAGGAUUAGAGACCCCAGUAGUCCCUGUCUCUUAUAC
rnacentral:rRNA from 1 species